rnacentral:misc_RNA from 1 species
UUUAACUUCUCAAAAGUGUUAUGCAGUUGUUUUAGUCAUUUACUUUCGUUUUCACUUCCUACAUGCUUACUCAGAGUACAUGUAAUUGAAGUUAUUUUAUGUGUCUUAGCGUUUUAUGUAAACUCAAAAUGUAAAUUACACUAUCAUAUUACUUUUUAAACCUAGUUUUUUUCUCUACUACAGUAAUCAGAAGAAGCAAUUGACCAUCCAGAAUGUAUGUAAGGCUUUGAAAUACGCGUAUAGCAACAACAACAACAGGACGAAGCAAAGUGCCUUGAAUUUCUUUCAAGCCCACUCUCAUCUUCUGCCUCGAACGCGGGAGUUGAUGAAGGGGUUCAUCAAACUUCCAAGAGAGUGUAUCUUGGAGCUUGUAGUCACUAGGAGAAUCAACCUGUCCCAGGAAGAAAUAUACACAGCUGUCAUUCAGUGGUCAGAAUGCCAGUGUGUUUUGCAGUCCAUGGAGCCUUCAGCAGAAAAUAAGAGGGAAAUUCUUGGGAGUAUUUGAAGAAAAUUAAGUACACAAGCAUGAAUGUGGACUUCUUUAAUAAUGCUGUGGUGGAACAAAGAGUGUUGAGCGUGGAAGACAUCAUCAAAGUGUAUCAGAGACUGUUGGCAUCUCGCUCACAUGUGAUGGACACAAAUGCUGUUGGGAUUUCUUCAUCUUUAGAUGACUUCGAGGACUCAGAUGCUGAGCAGGCAGUCACAACUAAUUCAUUAAUUUCUCUGCCAGAAACCCAGCUAACAACCACACCUAGACCAGUUCCGUUGCCUUUUUGGUUUGAAGCCCCAGAAGGGAAGAACGUUCUUUAUCGUUUCGCAAAUGUUUUAGCAGGAAAGUCUUACCCCAAAACUGUCUAGAUUCUUUAACGCUCAGUGUUUCAAAAAACAUAGCAUUACAUGGGAUUUACAUCUUUAACAGCCAUCAACUGCCCAUUCAGUUCAGAGUUUCCAUGAAAAUCACGGAGAAUGCCAAUGGCCAGCAAGAAGUUUUCUCGGUGACAAAUCUCACGGUUUUUACUAAUGGAGAAUCUCGAGUGUUUUUACUAGACAUUAUUCCACCUGUAGACAUUCAAGCAGGGAUGAAGUAUGAUAUGGUGAUGGACCUGGAUAUCAAUGGUACAACAUUCUAUGGGGUGGAAGGUUUACCAGAGUUGAAGGAUAAUGAAAUAACAUUUAAGUUUAUGGCAAAUGAGUGUGGUUUGAAUGGAACAAAUCACAAAACUGGACAAUUUCCAUUUUUAGUCUAUUUACCAAAAUAAAGUUUAGACAUUGAUCAAUAUGUAAAGAUGGGUUACAUUUAUGAAUCUUCCCAUUAUAAC